GUCGGGCUUCUGCUUCACUAUCGGGCGUUGUCGGGCAAGUCUCGUCGGGCAAGUCUCGUCGAGCAAGACUCUUCGGGCAAGACUCUUCGGGCAAGGCUGAAAGAGAAGGACAGCAUUAACUUUGAGAGGUGCCUUUGUGGGGCCUUAGGUGUAGGCCUUGAGGCUCACAAUCAAGGUUAACAUUUAAGUGCUCAGGCGUGCCACUGCCAUCUUUAGCAUGGCAGAUGUAAAAUAGUUGUCGUGCUUUAGUUGUAUAUAUAUAUGUAUCCAAGAAACCGUGUUAGUUAUAACAGGUGCCUUUGUGGGGCCUUAGGUGUAGGCCUUGAGGCUUCCCAUAAAUAACUAAACCAGUGCUCGAACACAUCAUAUUUGUUCUCGUGAUUGUAGGAGUUUUCUAACUAUUAUACUUCUGAUUACCCGAAUCCAAGAAGUAGAAUGAACCCAAAUAGAUGCCUUUGUGGGGCCUUAGGUGUAGGCCUUUAGGCUUCCCAUCAGAGUUCAUUCUUAUACUUAGACUCUUUAGAUCGCUGAACGGAAUGAAUCCAAAUGGAUGCCUUUGUGGGGCCUUAGGUGUAGGCCUUGAGGCUUUCCAUUAGAAUCCAUUCCAUGCUCAAGCGUUCUAUGGUAAUCAUGAUAUAAUAGAAAGAAAACUAGAAGGUAGGUUGAUUACUUGCGCCCCAAGUAACUUCGGACUUCUCGUUUAUCAAGGACUGUCGUGGAUGGGUUAAGUCCACAUAAGGUUCUUUUUUAUGCCUUGAGGCCAAUGACUUUUAACUGAUCAGAUUUACAUGCCCGAGGGCUUAGGACUUGGAUCUGGUUGAACACUGACGAUAUAUUCAAAUCGGAUUCAAGCACUGAGAAAGCCUUUUAAUAGUCAUGUUGCUAGAAAUAACUUGCAUAUAACUGGAAGUAUACAACAUAUUGAAAAGACAAAACUAAAGCAAAGAAGGUCGGGCAAGGUUAAACCUUAUCGGGUAAGGUUGCUCGUCUUGCAGGUUCCUAUCUUUGUAGUUUUGUCAAAGGUCUGAAAGCUUAGAGGGGUAGAGAGAGAGAGAUUACAAAAGAUGAAUCGAUACUACAGCAAGGUUGAACAAGGUAGCAGAGCUAUUACAAAGGGUUGAAGAUAGGGUUAUCCCGAGAGGGAUGAAGGUUUGUCCCGAAAGGGAUGAAGGCUGACUACAGCUUUGUUUUGAAGGCAAAUCUGGCUUUGAGCAGAGUUUGUGCUUGCAUUUGUUUGUUUGAUUGAGUGUCCUUAUUCCUGGAUUUUCUUUCUUCUUAUAUAGACAACUCGGCUUGGGCUUCUGUAGCAGCAGCUUUGCCCGAAUGCAGUUUGAGGGUGAUGACUCAUCAGCUAUUUUACAUGUAAUGCCACCAUAAAGUGCUUUAUGGGCUGUGUAACUGAUCAGUCUGCACCACUUGGCCUUUGGGUAGGUAAGCAAGUGGUCUUCAUGAGUUGUACCAGGUCAGAAAAGGCAUUUCCCUGCCUUCUGGGCUUCGACUGGGCUUCGGCUAUCUUCCCUUUCGGGCCUCCUUUUGGGCCAACUCCUUUCUUGAGCCCAAAGUUCAAGUUUUAAUCCAAACAGGAAUCAUGAGAUGUAAAUAUCUAUGAUUAAUACGUGUGCGAUAAUUAAACUAACCACACGUAAUACUAUAAUGAGUUUGUAAUUCAAAUGGUUAAGACUAUUAAUUUGUUCGAGGAGUUGUGAUCAAUAUUCCCUCUUUAACUAUUGCUUGUACAGCCACUUAAUAUUACAGUAUAGUGGUAUUCUUCUUCCCUUUUAAGUGAGAUGUCUUAUGUUCAAUUCUUGUCAAAGAUAAAUUUUAACCACAUUAUUACUAGUUCAUUGUGAGACUUGACCCACCCCCCACUAACUUCUUAUAGAUAAUAUCGUUUAUUAAAAAAAUAUAUAUAUAUAUUGCUUGUGCAAAACACAUAGGUUUCACUACUAGAAUUUUUUUUUUUUUAACAAACGAUAUUAUCUACUCUAAGGGGAUGGGGUAAGAUUAGCCUCACAAUGGGUUAGCAAUAAUGUAGUUCAAAUAGAAUUUUGAUUCUUUUAAACCUAGGAGUGCAAUACUAAUUCUUUAUCCUUACGUUAACCAUAAUAUCAUUACAAAGAAAGUUAUAACCAGGCAUAAUUAGCAACUUGGAGUAUAGAGAUAAGAUGCAUGACUUAAAAGGAAAUUUGAAGUGAUUUUUCGAAACUCCUUUUCUAUUUCUGCACACCCUUUUUAAGUUUAGUCCUAGAUUCAUUUUUUAUUUGUUCAAUCUAAUUAUAAGAAAAAGAAAAGAUAGAGAUGUGUGGGAGGUAAAGACGGUGUGUAAAUUUUCUUUCAAACAAACAUAGUUCACCGAGUGGUUGCAAUUCACAGGGGACCUUCUUGGAUACUCGGAAGACCCGUACUCUUGAGUACUGCUCUAAAAAAUGGGCCUAGGCAAUGGUGUUCUGCCGCGAUUUAGGCCAAAUCAUCCAACAAAAUCAGAUAAGAGUUACACGCCUGUCUAGGCGGUGAUCUAGGAAGGUUUUUUUUUUUUUUUUUUGGUAUACUGACUUUCUCUUGUCUUUCGUCGCCGUUGCAUCUCUCAUAGACAAUGGAAGAUCUGAUGAGAAGAGGGAGGAUGAGAGAAAGAGAAGAGUUCCAUUUGCAAAUCUGCAAUUGCAUAGAAGUGGUGGGACAACAAUAGUUAGGGUUUAACAUUUAAGUCAGGUUACAUUUUUCUUGAACGAACAAUAUUAUCUAAACUAA
rnacentral:lncRNA from 1 species